UGAAGCCAUGAGUAAGAUAGAGCCCAUGAGAGGCCCACUUACUCCUUUUUUCUUUUUCUUUUUUGUGUCAACACACUUACUCAUCUUCAAGCCGAACCGGAGCCAGUGUGCGGUUUCAUUCCAGGUCACCCUUUUUCUGAUGAAGAAGAAACCACUUAAAAUUUGCUUAAAUCCUGAAUUUUGUUGUCUUUCAUUCAAAUAAUUGUAAAACCCCACCGGCCACCCUUUUCUUCUUUGUCACUCUGCAAAGUUCGGGGGUUGGAGCUGGGUUAAUAGAAACUACAAAUAACAAUGCUUUCUUCAAUUACCUCUCAACGGCUGAGACCCUUUCUUCUUCUUCAUCUCCGUCACGCUCAAAUCCUCCUAUAUUCCUCUCUUCCUCACUCUGUUUCCACCAAACCCAUUUCGAUUCACAAUCCUACUAACCCAGAACCGCAAUCAAGUUCAACAAUUUAUGACCACACCACGGUGCGUGAAACGCUUUCUUCUUACUGCAAUGACUGGAAGAAAGCCUUGGACUUCUUUAACUGGCUGGAAACUGAAUGUCACUUCCUACACACCACUGUAACCUACAAUCGCAUGCUUGACAUUCUUGGUAAGUUCUUUGAGUUUGAGCUCUGUUGGAACUUAAUUCAAAAAAUGAAGCAGAACCCAGUUUCUGUUCCUGAUCAUACUACAUUUCGUAUACUGUUUAAGAGGUAUGUAUCGGCACACCUUGUAAAGGAAGCUAUAGAUACUUAUAAUAGAUUGGAAGAGUUUGGUUUGAAGGAUGAGACCUCCUAUUGUAAUCUUAUUGAUGCUCUUUGUGAGUAUAAGCAUGUGAUUGAAGCCCAAGAAUUGUGUUUUUGGAAGAACAAAGAUUUGGGCUUUGAUAAGAGUACUAAGCUCUAUAAUUUACUUCUUCGUGGGUGGUUGAAAAUGGGGUGGUGGGGUAAGUGUAGGGACUUUUGGGAAGAGAUGGAUAGGAGAGGUGUUCGUAAAGAUUUGCAUUCGUAUUCAAUAUAUAUGGAUAUAUUAUGCAAGAGUGGAAAGCCGUGGAAGGCUGUGAAGUUGUACAAGGAGAUGAAGAACAAAGGGAUCAAACUGGAUGUGGUGGCAUAUAAUACAGUUAUUCGUGCCAUUGGUCUUUCUGAUGGUGUUGAUUUUUCAAUGAGGUUGCUAAGGGAGAUGAAGGAAUUGGGUUGUCAACCAAAUGUCGGGACGUAUAAUACAAUUAUAAAGCUUUUGUGCGAGAAUGGGAGAUGUAAGGAAGCAUUUUCGUUGCUUCAUCAAAUGCCUAGGAUGGGAUUACUACCAGAUGUGAUAACAUAUCAUUGCAUUUUUAAGCAUCUAGAGAAGCCAAAUGAGAUUCUUAGACUGUUUGAUAGGAUGACUGAAAGUGGGGUUCAACCAAAGAUGGACACUUUUGUGAUGCUUAUGAGGAAGUUUGGAAGAUGGGGAUUCCUCAGACCAAUGUUUCUUGUGUGGAAUAGGAUGGAAAAACUUGGGUGUAGUCCUGAUGAGUCUGCUUACAAUGCUUUAAUCGAUGCUCUGGUGGAAAAAGGUAUGUUAGACAUGGCUAGGCAGUAUGAUGAAGAGAUGCUAGCAAAGGGGCUUUCAGCUAAGCCAAGGGAGGAGUUGGGGACGAAACUAGUGAGCAGUGAAUCUGAUGAUGGGUAAUUGCAAUAUGAUUUUGAUGCUUCGAAAGUACCUACAUAGCAUCUGGAAUACACAGGCAUUUCCACCUGCAUUUUUCUGUUGAAAAGAAAAUGGGAGCUAAGGAAUACCAUCUGAAUAAUGCAAACAGUGCUGAAGGAUAUGGUAUUUAUGGCUCCCAGAUACAUAUUAUUAUGAAGGUGUGCAGCUGAGAACAUUGGUUACACUGAGGAAAGAGUUGGGGUGGUAACCACAGAUCAUUCGACGACCUUUUGUGCUGAGCUUGUCAUAGCACGGAUACCUAUUUCCUGCUCAUAAUAAAACUAAAUGUUAAAGACCUUUUUGAUCUAGGACAUGGAUGUGUGGGUAAAUUUUCCUGCAAAGCUGAUAUUUGGAGCCCAGAAGCAUGGCUUCCAUUGGUUCAGAAGUAGGCAAAAUGUGGGGAGAGGAUAUUCUUGUCAGUGCCCUUGUUCUUGCCGAUGCGUUGGAAUUGUUUCCAAAUUUAGAUUCCUAGGACAUAGUUGUUCAUCCAUUUUGUCUUCCACUCUAACAGUCAUGGAAACCCUAUGAUGAUAAUAAGCAAGUUGCCAGUGGUGACAGUAUGCAAGUUGCUGUAUUGGUGUCUAGCUGCACACUGAUAUGGAGUCCAGACUAUGCUUCUGUUGCCCAAAAGGUGUUAUUUUACUUAGGAUCAUAUAGAGAAGCCAGUACCCAAGUUAGAAGAAAGAGUUGGACUCCUGGAAGAAGGGUCUUGCAUGGAUGCCACAAUCCUUUCCUUCAUGGUUCUUUGCAGCUUGAAAUGCAGGAAAGCAGAGACUUUUGUACUUUAGAUGUAAUUUUUGGGGACUUGUGUGGUUGAAAUGCUUCAUCUUUGGCAUACAGAGUAAACAGCCAACCAAGUCUUCAGCAGACCUAUAUAUAGUGCAAUUCCAAUCUAGAAACAAUGUUUAGUUUUCACCCAAGGAAGCACUCUAGUGAUCGCAUCCUGGGAAGUGCCAUUAAUUAUACCCUUCCAUGGUCUACCAAGUUCCUGGAUGUAGCAGCACCUGAAAUUCAGUGUUCUUCUCUUGUUGGUAUUGUUCUUUUUUUGAAAAUCUUUGGACCUCCCUGAUUUUUAUAUUCUCAGGUUUGAUUUUCUUGAUUCUCUUUCCUGUAAGAUCAAUUUCCUUUUUUCCCUGUCUUUUUCUUCCCUUCCAGGCUUUCAGGAUACAAUUGCAGUUCCUUGCUUACAUUGUAUUGUUCAAGUCUACUUGGCUUGUCUGUGGUCUUAAAAGAAAUAAUAAACACACGUCAUUACCAAUCUCAGAGAAAUAGAUUUUGGAACAUCAGUUUAGUAGUUUCUAAAUUUAGUUUUUUUAACAUUUUAAAAAGAAAAAUUCCCGUGGAAAUGUUUGUUCAGCAUGUUUUUUUUGGGGGCAAAGUUAGGAUGGGGUAGGAGAGUUUUUUCAGAGACACCAUCAAGGUGUCAUGGACUCAUGGACGUCUGUUUUGUCUAGGGUUUCGAAAUUCCAAUUUUCUUGGAAAGCUUGUACUUUUUUCCUACAAUGACACUUGCGAUGUGCAUCAAACACCGCCCUCAGGAAGCAAAUUUAAAACCGUUCUCUGAGUCCUCUUAUGACUUCAAACAUUCAGUGUUGAAAAUUCAUGUUGUUCAC